GGAAUGGCAGCAGACCGGCUGCCAGUGGCACGGAGUGCUGUCUGAAUGCUGCAAGGGAGCAUGAUAUCCCAGCUCUUCUUGAGAAGGCGACACUGAAUAAGAAAACAGGUCCAAAAUCCAGAAAGGUCCUGACAGGGCAUGUGGUUGGAGCAGCCGCCUGCGUGCCUCGGGCAGACUGAAGCAGGCCAAGAAUGAAAGGGGGCGGCACAGGGCGGCCAGCAUCCAGUCACCUGAGAAAGAAGGAAUUCAACCUGGAAUAAUCCCUCACACUCUUCACAUGGGUGCAUCUCUCGCCACCCCACCCAGAUGCUCUCUGCCCUCCAGGAGCUCCAAAGGCCUAAAGGGUCUUCUUCAGAUGGCUGUUUAAGAAGGCUGUUCUUCAACAUGUGGAACAUUUCCUCCUUUGAAAUGAAUCCAUCACCAUUCAAAUCAAACACUUCAAAGCAAUCUUUUAAAAAAUAGCCAAUUAGGAAUUUGAUACUAUCCUUAAGGUAACAUUUGUUCUGAAAAAGUUUUCAAGACCAAGGUCUAUAUUGAUGUUCUUAUCAAUGCCACAGGCCUUAACACAAUCUAAUCUCCAUAAUAAAUGCUUAAUGUUCACUUGUUGAAUAUAUGCAACAAUCCUUAGAAAAAAUUUCAUUACAAUCAGCUAUGGAGAAGCAUGACAAGAGACAAUAAGUUGGCAUAAUACUCCCCAGGUAUUAUGUUGAGUGAAAUAAGCCAAUCAGAAAAAGACAAGUAUCACAUCAUCUCACUUAUAGGUGGAAUCUAAUGAACUGAUGAACAAAAAAGACCCAGAGACAUAGAAACAUGCAACAGACUGA